rnacentral:rRNA from 1 species
CUCAGGACGAACGCUGGCGGCGUGCUUAACACAUGCAAGUCUAACGAUGAACCGGUCUCGGCCGGGGAUUAGUGGCGAACGGGUGAGUAACACGUGGGCAAUCUGCCCUGCACUCUGGGAUAAGCCCGGGAAACUGGGUCUAAUACCGGAUACGACACUCCGAGGCAUCUUGGGGUGUGGAAAGUUCCGGCGGUGCAGGAUGAGCCCGCGGCCUAUCAGCUUGUUGGUGGGGUAAUGGCCUACCAAGGCGACGACGGGUAGCCGGCCUGAGAGGGUGGCCGGCCACACUGGGAUUGAGACACGGCCCAGACUCCUACGGGAGGCAGCAGUGGGGAAUAUUGCACAAUGGGCGAAAGCCUGAUGCAGCGACGCCGCGUGAGGGAAGACGGCCUUCGGGUUGUAAACCUCUUUCAGCAGGGAAGAAGCGAAAGUGACGGUACCUGCAGAAGAAGCACCGGCUAACUACGUGCCAGCAGCCGCGGUAAUACGUAGGGUGCGAGCGUUGUCCGGAAUUAUUGGGCGUAAAGAGCUCGUAGGCGGUUUGUCGCGUCGAUUGUGAAAGCCCGGGGCUUAACCCUGGGUCUGCAGUCGAUACGGGCAGGCUAGAGUUCGGCAGGGGAGACUGGAAUUCCUGGUGUAGCGGUGAAAUGCGCAGAUAUCAGGAGGAACACCGGUGGCGAAGGCGGGUCUCUGGGCCGAUACUGACGCUGAGGAGCGAAAGCGUGGGGAGCGAA